UACGUAGGGUGCAAGCGUUAUCCGGAAUUAUUGGGCGUAAAGAGCUCGUAGGCGGUUUGUCGCGUCUGCUGUGAAAACUGGAGGCUCAACCUCCAGCCUGCAGUGGGUACGGGCAGACUAGAGUGCGGUAGGGGAGAUUGGAAUUCCUGGUGUAGCGGUGGAAUGCGCAGAUAUCAGGAGGAACACUGAUGGCGAAGGCAGAUCUCUGGGCCGUAACUGACGCUGAGGAGCGAAAGCAUGGGGAGCGAACAGG
rnacentral:rRNA from 1 species